rnacentral:rRNA from 1 species
AGUGAACGCUGGCGGUAGGCCUAACACAUGCAAGUCGAACGGCAGCACAGUAAGAGCUUGCUCUUACGGGUGGCGAGUGGCGGACGGGUGAGGAAUACAGCGGAAUCUACUUUUUCGUGGGGGAUAACGUAGGGAAACUUACGCGAAUACCGCAUACGACCUACGGGUGAAAGCAGGGGAUCUUCGGACCUUGCGCGAUUGAAUGAGCCGAUGUCGGAUUAGCUAGUUGGCGGGGUAAAGGCCCACCAAGGCGACGAUCCGUAGCUGGUCUGAGAGGAUGAUCAGCCACACUGGAACUGAGACACGGUCCAGACUCCUACGGGAGGCAGCCGUGGGGAACAUUGGACAAUGGGCGCAAGCCUGAUCCAGCCAUACCGCGUGGGUGAAGAAGGCCUUCGGGUUGUAAAGCCCUUUUGUUGGGAAAGAAAAGCAGCAGGUUAAUACCCCGCUGUUCUGACGGUACCCAAAGAAUAAGCACCGGCUAACUUCGUG